rnacentral:rRNA from 1 species
GAUGAACGCUGGCGGCGUGCCUAAUACAUGCAAGUCGAGCGAACAGACGAGGAGCUUGCUCCUCUGACGUUAGCGGCGGACGGGUGAGUAACACGUGGAUAACCUACCUAUAAGACUGGGAUAACUUCGGGAAACCGGAGCUAAUACCGGAUAAUAUAUUGAACCGCAUGAUUCAAUAGUGAAAGACGGUUUUGCUGUCACUUAUAGAUGGAUCCGCGCCGCAUUAGCUAGUUGGUAAGGUAACGGCUUACCAAGGCAACGAUGCGUAGCCGACCUGAGAGGAUGAUCGGCCACACUGGAACUGAGACACGGUCCAGACUCCUACGGGAAGCAGCAGUAGGGAAUCUUCCGCAAUGGGCGAAAGCCUGACGGAGCAACGCCGCGUGAGUGAUGAAGGUCUUCGGAUCGUAAAACUCUGUUAUUAGGGAAGAACAAAUGUGUAAGUAACUAUGCACGUCUUGACGGUACCUAAUCAGAAAGCCACGGCUAACUACGUG